GGGGUUGUGGCUCAGCGGUAGAGUGUUUGCCUAGCAUGUGUGAGGUCCUGGGUUCAAUCCUCAGCACCACCU
rnacentral:tRNA from 1 species